ensembl:misc_RNA Metazoa_SRP Metazoan signal recognition particle RNA
GCCAACCGGGUGUCUGCACUAAGUUCGGCAUCAAUAUGAUGACCUCCUGGGAGCAGGGGGCCACCAGGUUGCCUAAGGAUGAGUGAACUGGCCCAGAUCAGAAAGGGAGCAGGUCAGAACUCCCGCACCAACCGGUAGUGUGACUGUGCCUGGGC